rnacentral:rRNA from 1 species
UACGAAGGGGGCUAGCGUUGUUCGGAAUUACUGGGCGUAAAGCGCGUGUAGGCGGGACGUUAAGUCGGGGGUGAAAGCCCAGGGCUCAACUCUGGAACUGCCUUCGAUACUGGCGGCCUGGAGCAUGAUAGUGGCGAGUGGAAUUGCGAGUGUAGAGGUGAAAUUCGUAGAUAUUCGUAGGAACACCAGUGGCGAAGGCGACUCGCUGGAUCAUUGCUGACGCUGAGACGCGAAAGCGUGGGGAGCAAACAGG